GGACACAGCAGAGUGUUUGACGGUGGCGGCGACACAUGCUUCUCCAGACCACAGCCCAGUGUAGCCACUUAUCCUCAAUGACUAUCCUCAAAGCUGCUGGUACACACUGACUCCGUUUUGUCUCUGUUCUGAUGAUUUAGACCAACAAUGAAUUAGGAAAUUAUUCAAAACAAACCAAGCAGUAAGGUUCAGUUCACCAUCGAAGGGUUGGUAAACCCUGAUAUAAUUUAACAUUAUCCAAGUGUAACACUUGCCAUUGGCACAUUUUAUGUCUUUUGUGGUUAGACGGAAGUAGUUUCUUUGACAACCAAACAUUUGAGUGUUCUAAGUCUAGUGCCAUCCUACCACUACUGAACAAAACCUUAGCGCUGCGGUUUGUACCCAUAACGCCCCUUGAAAAAUUGUGUACCGUACCAAAGCGAAUCGAACUGUACUGGUAGAAAUGAGGCUGCAUUUCCUUCAAAUCUUUGAAUGUUCAUAUCUGUUUGUGGUUCCCAGAAACUAUUGUUGACGCUACAGCUUUUAGACAGUAAGUAGAACAGUACAAAAUGAGUUAUGACCGUAUGUUAUUCCAGAUUCAGUUAUUUUUUAACUGUUUGUAUAGAACGAGGGGACUUUUUAAUCCUGUUGAAUUUUUGGGACCCAAAUACAGAACUAUAGAAUUGUCCCAUAGAGUUAUUGGUACUUCCCUUUGGGACAGUGUAUCUUCGACACUGUGCAGUUUGAAGUUAAACCGGUUUGUUUCUAUUGUCAGUUGGGACUCUGACAUUCUUUGACUGGUUUUGUACUUUAUUGUAAAACAGGUAUUUGUCCCACCGCUAUCAGUUGCAGUAGACAUUGCUGAAGUUUUCCACGUGUUAGCUCGCUACACAUAUUUCCCUGAUUAGUAGUAGUUCACAGAAAUACAUUGACUUGUUUUGAAACCAUGUUGGCUAUGAUAGUGGUAGUUUACAGAAAUACAGUGACUUGUUUUAAAACCGUGUUGGCUUAGAUUCAGAAAAACGGUACACUUUCUCCCAAAAUAUCUUGUUAUUCAUGGUUAGCUGGCAUAUUUUAUUUUUCUGUGAGCAGUGCUUAAAUGAUUGUAAUGAUGACUCCCAUCAAAGAUACAAAGCUACGAAGGACUGCGGACAACCCAAUCAUGAGAUGGGCAGUUUUGUGACAGCAGUGAGAUAGGAGAGUUCUCACGGAUGUUUGCUGUUUUUAUUGGAUUGAUUUAUAUGAAAGGCAUGAUGUCUAGUGCAUGAGACUGAACAGAAAAAGCUUUAUUCGCCUUCUUUUACUGUCAGUACAUCCUUUUUUUCCCCUGAGAAAGUCAACAGUGGAGUGGACUUUUCCCGCAAGAGGAGGGUACUUAAAUUAUUAAUGUUUCUUUUAAUUUAUAUAUCUUAUAAAACUUGACUGAACAAAGAUGCUAUUUAUUGUCAAAAUCAUGUUUUUUUUUUACGUGGUUAUGUAAAUUAAAGGUUGCUAAAUGUGCAAGGAAUACAAAAGUCAAGAGUUAUUGAGUUUGUGACCGGUUUAUUUUGUGUGUAGAACUUAGCAGCAGCAGCUUGAUUGGAACCCAGCUUUUACUGAUAAAAGAUCAUUCCCCGGGGCUUUCUGCCUUGUGUUCAAAGAGGGGAGCCUCUGCAGAGCGUGGCGUUGAAUAUAAAUCACAGCUGAGGGGAAGCCCUCGUUUCAUAUCCCCCCAUGCUUGCAGCGGCUGUUACAUUGCAGUGCAGCAGCAGUUCAGGGUUGGCAAGAGCCCCGAUAAUAUGGUUUCUACGUAUUGGUACUUCCAUUACGGAGGUAUAAAUGGCACAUAUGGCCACGUUAUGCUCUUUAUUUGAUCAAUCUGAUUAUGAUGCAACGCUGUACAAUUUAAGCUCGAUGGAAAAGGAUUCACUUCAAUUACGAUGCAUUAGGACACAAUGCUCUUAAACUACAAAACAGUGAGUUACGAAACAAUUUGCUUUUUAAUUACAAUGCAUAAAAUUAAAUACAUCCGAAAUGGUUCAGCCUCGUUACAAUGUGAUAAAGGUCACUUUGUGUUGUCAAACAAUUAAUUUCUAACUCAAUCAUUUUUAAAUUUUAAUUAAUCACAAAUGUUCAAUUAAUUACUUUCCAUAUUUUACUUAGCUUUAAAAAAAAGACCCCAUUAUUUUGACACAAAUGACAUUUUAUUUUCAUAAUUUACCUAGCUUUAAAAAAGACGCCAUUAUUUUGACACAAAUUACAUUUUAUUUUCAGAAUGUAUUGUGAAUUCUUGUGAAUUAUAUUUAUAUAGCGCUUUUCUCUAGUGACUCAAAGUGACUCUAAGUUACAUUUAAACCAGUGUGGGUGGCACUGGGAGCAGGUGGGUAAAGCGUCUUGCCCAAAGACACGACGGCUGUGACUAGGAUGACGAAAGCGGGGAUCGAACCUGGAACCCUCAAGUUGUUGGCACGGCCACUCUACCAACCGAGCUGUACCGACCCAAAUGUAAUUUGAAAAACAGUUUUUUAUAUAUUAAUUAAUUGUAAAAAUGUUCGCAAAUUACAUUAUGAAAAUAAAAUGUAAUUUGUGUCAAAAUAAUGGUGUUGAAUUGUGGCCCUGCGAUGAGGUGGCGACUUGUCCAGGCUCCAUCACCCUCCACGACCCCGAAAGGGACACGCGGUAGAAAAUGGAUGGAUGGAUUAAUGAAUUGCACUUAAUUCAUUUGCUCAAGACCUGGCAACAGUAUAGUAUGAUGUGCACAUUUUGAACAAUUCUGCAAUAAUACAAACAAGGUGCUGAUAUUGUACUAAACAGUAAUGGGCAGUAGCUAGCUACAUGAGUGAAGCUGGGUAGCUUAACUACGUUUUCCAGUUACUUGGCGGUAGUUUAGCUACUUUUUUAACGAGAAGCUUUCCCUGCAGCUUAGCUACUUUUAGAGCUCUGUCGCUAGGUAGCUUGCAUCAACACUACAAGCUACAAAGAGAGAAAAUGGACUGCGAAUACAGGCCCAAAAAAAUAUGGAGGAAAUACAAUGAACUGGAUAAAUGAAAACAUCCAUUUUCUACCGCUUGUCCCUUUUGGGGUUACGGGGUUGCUGUAGCCUAUCCCUUGCAUACAGAGAAAAUCAAUGAUUGGUUGGUGUUCUUAUGAUGAGUCACAAUUGGCUAAAGUUAGGGCUAAACAUUACAGAUUGGCCAAUCAGAGGCAAGAUAAGGCGGGUCAUCAAAACUGGUACGCAAAAUCAUAACAGUCACGCACGCAGGUCACAUGACAUGAUUAUAGCAUAGGAAUACAAACUGAAAUGUGGGGUGUUGCUGUAUCGGGGGUCUGGGUGGUCAGAAAAGCAGUCAGUGUCUGGUUCGCCUCAUGCAGUGCAUAGAGUUGAUCAGGUUGUUGAUUUUGGCCUGUGGAAUGUUAGUCCACUAUUCUUCAAUGGCUGUGACAAGUUCCUGGACAUUGGCAUGAAGGGGAACAUGCUGUCAUAUAUGCCGAUCCGCCGCAUCCCAAACAUGCUCAAUGCGUGACAUGUUCGGGAUGUUUUCAGUUUCCAGGAAUUGUUGUCAGAUCCUUUGUAACAUGGGGCCCUGCAUUGUCUUGGUGCAACAUAACCCAGUGGGCACCCGUCCUUAGUUCAACGUCAAGGUGAGGUUGAAAUUACGUCGCGACGUCACUCAACCAUAUCCCGACCAAAUCACAACCAACUGACCCCACCACACCAUAUGUUGCAAAUCUGGUUUGUUUUCAUCAUUGGGGGACAUCGUCUUUUCAACGUUGUUUCAACGUGUACAAUUCAACUUGCCAAACAUUCUGCGCGCAUCGGCCAUUCGCGACAGUUUUCAACAAAACCGCUGCUUGACGGCAGCGUGAACUAAAAGCCAAGCUUGUGCGCAUGUGUGCUGAAGUACUUCCUUUCCAGUCCAGCAAGCAAGACUAAGAGCGAAGAUUUGAAUUGGAAAUCAAACUAUUUCACUGCAAAGAAAACCAUCGACGUCCAUAAAGAUUCAGAAAUUGGAGACAGUGGAGGAACUACUCGACCUUGACGAGUUGAUAAAAACUCAACCAAGAAAGAAAUAUUUGCUGACAGCCAGGCUCUCAAAGAUUGGUGGAUAUGACUUAAAAAGCUGUUUAAGCACCAUCAUGGACAGGCUCAUGACAAAUGAAUUAAUGUCCAAUCUGAACAUGAAGGGGAGAGGGGGAAAAAAUUAGCUUUGCCGAGACGAAGCUGCUCAAUUUAGCCACAGCUAGUGUCUUGGAUACCCAGAAGGGGACCGAAACGAUGGUCCAUGAUGUCAUAAGAAAUAAACUGAAAUAUGCCCCUGGACGGAAUGGAGGAAUAGGAUGGGCAUCACAGGCUAAAUAAAUAAUUAUAUUGAUUGACA